rnacentral:rRNA from 1 species
AACCGGAUUAGAUACCCUGGUAGUCCAUACCGUAAACGAUGAAUGCUAGGUGUUGGAGGGUUUCCGCCCUUCAGUGCUGCAGCUAACGCAUUAAGCAUUCCGCCUGGGGAGUACGACCGCAAGGUUGAAACUCAAAGGAAUUGACGGGGGCCCGCACAAGCGGUGGAGCAUGUGGUUUAAUUCGAAGCAACGCGAAGAACCUUACCAGGUCUUGACAUCCUUUGACCACUGUAGAGAUACAGCUUUCCCUUCGGGGACAAAGUGACAGGUGGUGCAUGGUUGUCGUCAGCUCGUGUCGUGAGAUGUUGGGUUAAGUCCCGCAACGAGCGCAACCCUUAUGACUAGUUGCCAGCAUUUAGUUGGGCACUCUAGUAAGACUGCCGGUGACAAACCGGAGGAAGGUGGGGAUGACGUCAAAUCAGCACGCCCCUUAUGACCUGGGCUACACACGUGCUACAAUGGUCGGUACAACGAGUUGCGAACCCGCGAGGGUAAGCUAAUCUCUUAAAGCCGAUCUCAGUUCGGAUUGUAGGCUGCAACUCGCCUACAUGAAGCCGGAAUCGCUAGUAAUCGCGGAUCAGCACGCCGCGGUGAAUACGUUCCCGGGCCUUGUACACACCGCCCGUCACACCAUGAGAGUUUGUAACACCCGAAGUCGGUGGGGGUAACCCUUUUAGGGAACUAGCCGCCUAAGGUGGGGACAGAUGAUUGGGGGUGAAGUCGUAACAAGGGUAACCC